GUUCCAAGCAUCCUUGGCAAGAAUAUUGGGAGUUUGAGGGGUCCCCAAAGGAGGUUCAUCCAAGUGACCUGACUGGGACUGAUGAGUGCAGGCCAGUGCAGACAGAAGCGGACACACAGUUUGUGCUUGGGGUAUGUACCCUCUGCCUACACCUCCUCUGCAUUCUUUCCCCCAUGUCCCAGAGCCUGUGCAAAAGGCCCCUCAACAUCUGUGCGCCUCCACAGAACUUGGGCCUGAUGUCUCUGUGUUGCUUUUGUUUUUCCUUAGCAGGACUGAGUCCUAACGUUAUCAGUUAGUGUACUGUGCAUGUAUUUUUUUUUUUAAGAAGUUUGAUUUUAUCUCUUUAGAAACGGUUUGAAACUAACGGGGCAGAGGGAGUUUGACAGAGAGGAGAACAAAUCGCUGACAAAGAACCUUUUACGUUUCAUCAGCGUUGUUAGGACGACAAGCAGGAAUGUCUCAGAUAAUAACUCCCACUUCAA
rnacentral:lncRNA from 1 species